UCACUCAUGAAUAGCAAUUGGAUUUGUUAACGAGAAUCAUUGGGUACAGAUCAAAUUGAAGUCUGAUUGUCCUUUGCCACUUACGUCACAAAAAUGGAAAGACUUUUGUAGUGACACAGCAAAGAGUUGGGAAGUAGCUUAUGCAGCACGUAUGAAGCAUUGGGAACGCAUUGAUCCAUCAUUUAUCAGAUCAUCUUGUAUUUCAUUAAAUGAAGAUUAGAAUAUGUUGUGUAUCACUGUUUAUGGAUUAUUAUAAUAUCUUGUUUUAUCAUUUUCA